CUUUAGGGUUCACGCCCAGAAGAGCCGCAGUGAAUAGGCCCAAGCGACUGUUUAUCAAAAACACAGGUCUCUGCUAAACCGUAAGGUGAUGUAUAGGGGCUGACGCCUGCCCGGUGCUGGAAGGUUAUAGGAGCCAUUGAAACGUGAGCGCUAGCUUACGUGGAGGCGUUGGUGGGAUACUACCCUAGCUGUGUUGGCUUUCUAACCCGCACCACUUAUCGUGGUGGGAGACAGUGUCAGGCGGGCAGUUUGAC
rnacentral:rRNA from 1 species